CAGAGCAGCAGCCUUGCUGCUGGAUGGGGUUUGGAUCUGAUAUGACAUUACAGCAGCUGAACUUACACUGGCUUCAGGUUCAUGUGCAUAGCAAUGCUCCCUAUAUUGCAACAGCAGCAUGCCUUAAGAAACUGAAUGUGGAGGGACCUGCCCUUUUAAACAAUGAAAAAAUGAACUGUCCAUUUUAUCCCAUUUGGAAGAGUGAGCAACAGUAACCUUCUACAGUACCUUGAUCACUUAAACAGGUAAAAGCAGCUUUGUCAUAGUGACUGUCAAAACAAACCAGUGGACUCAGAUGAAAGAGCAAGUAAACAAAUAUUUUCUGGGAAAUUUCUUCUACAUUGCCUUCAGCAAAAAUUCAGUUCUGGUAGCAGACAAAACAAAAUCAAUUUUAUUCACAAAAACCAUUCUCUUUCUUUCAAAGUGUUUGUAAAACUGUAUCAUUUGCUCUGCAAAUCAGUAACAAUAAUGAGUGAUUUUCUUCUAAAUGUUCAUAUAAUUUCUCAUCCUUAUAAUAAAUUUCAUGUGUUAUUGUC